UUUCCUGUGGCUCAGUUGGUAGAGCGGUGCCCUAAAAACGCAAAUGUCGUGGGUUCAAAAUCCCUGACAAAAA